AGUGAACGCUGGCGGUAGGCCUAACACAUGCAAGUCGAACGGCAGCACAGGAGAGCUUGCUCUCUGGGUGGCGAGUGGCGGACGGGUGAGGAAUACAUCGGAAUCUACUCUGUCGUGGGGGAUAACGUAGGGAAACUUACGCUAAUACCGCAUACGACCUACGGGUGAAAGCAGGGGACCUUCGGGCCUUGCGCGAUUGAAUGAGCCGAUGUCGGAUUAGCUAGUUGGCGGGGUAAAGGCCCACCAAGGCGACGAUCCGUAGCUGGUCUGAGAGGAUGAUCAGCCACACUGGAACUGAGACACGGUCCAGACUCCUACGGGAGGCAGCAGUGGGGAAUAUUGGACAAUGGGCGCAAGCCUGAUCCAGCCAUACCGCGCGGGUGAAGAAGGCCUUCGGGUCGUAAAGCCCUUUUGUUGGGAAAGAAAUCCAGCUGGCUAAUACCCGGUUGGGAUGACGGUACCCAAAGAAUAAGCACCGGCUAACUUCGUGCCAGCAGCCGCAGUAA
rnacentral:rRNA from 1 species